rnacentral:rRNA from 1 species
AGUGAACGCUGGCGGUAGGCCUAACACAUGCAAGUCGAACGGCAGCACAGUAAGAGCUUGCUCUUACGGGUGGCGAGUGGCGGACGGGUGAGGAAUACAUCGGAAUCUACUUUUUCGUGGGGGAUAACGUAGGGAAACUUACGCUAAUACCGCAUACGACCUACGGGUGAAAGCAGGGGAUCUUCGGACCUUGCGCGAUUGAAUGAGCCGAUGUCGGAUUAGCUAGUUGGCGGGGUAAAGGCCCACCAAGGCGACGAUCCGUAGCUGGUCUGAGAGGAUGAGCAGCCAAACUGGAAAUGAGACACGGUCCAGACCCCCAGGGGAGGGCGGAGGGGGGAAUUUUGGAAAAGGGGCGAAAGCCUGACCCAGCCAUCCCGGGGGGGUGAAGAAGGCCUGGGGGUGGGAAAGCCCUUUUGUGGGGAAAAAAAAGCAGCAGGUUAAACCCCCGCUGUUCGGACGGGACCAAAAAAAAAAGCCCCGGCGAACUGCGG